rnacentral:rRNA from 1 species
AAAUUAAAGUAGUAAUAGAUAAAUGCUUGAAACUUAAAAAAUUUGGCGGUAUUUUAAUCUAUUUAGAGGAACUUGUUCUAUAAUCGAUAAUCCACGUUAAAUUUUACUAAAUUAAAUUUAUUUGUAUAUCGUUGUCGAAAGAAUAUUUUUAAAAAAUAAUAAUUUUCUAAAAUUUUUAUUAAAAUUAAUGUCAAAUCAAGGUGCAGUUUAUAAUUUAGAAGAAAUGAGUUACAAUAAAUUUAUUUAAAAUGAAUUUAAUUUUGAAAAAAUUAAUGAAGGUGGAUUUAAUAGUAAAUUAAUUUUAAUAAAAUUGAUUGAUUAAGGUUCUAAAAUAUGU